rnacentral:rRNA from 1 species
GAUGAACGCUGGCGGCGUGCCUAAUACAUGCAAGUCGAGCGAACGGACGAGAAGCUUGCUUCUCUGAUGUUAGCGGCGGACGGGUGAGUAACACGUGGAUAACCUACCUAUAAGACCGGGAUAACUUCGGGAAACCGUAGCUAAUACCGGAUAAUAUUUUGAACCGCAUGGUUCAAAAGUGAAAGACGGUCUUGCUGUCACUUAUAGAUGGAUCCGCGCUGCAUUAGCUAGUUGGUAAGGUAACGGCUUACCAAGGCAACGAUGCAUAGCCGACCUGAGAGGGUGAUCGGCCACACUGGAACUGAGACACGGUCCAGACUCCUACGGGAGGCAGCAGUAGGGAAUCUUCCGCAAUGGGCGAAAGCUUGACGGAGCAACGCCGCGUGAGUGAUGAAGGUCUUCGGAUCGUAAAACUCUGUUAUUAGGGAAGAACAUAUGUGUAAGUAACUGUGCACAUCUUGACGGUACCUAAUCAGAAAGCCACGGCUAACUACGUG